CCUAAGCGACCCCACUGCUUGCCCGAUUCCCGGUCACGGCACCAACCCCAUCGCCGCUGGCUCGCCCGACGU
rnacentral:sRNA from 1 species